GGAUAACAAGGAGGAUGUGAUGAGUGAUUUCCACAUAGGCAAGCUGCGUCGGAGUUCGAGAAUUGUAAUUCCACCUAAAAAGUUGGACAGUUACUUUUGGGGAGGAAAGUCACGUGAACAAAGCCAAAGUUAGUUACUGGAUGUGUUUAAAAGUGUUAAGAAUGUGGGUAGGAAAGGAUAAGGAAGUUAUUUCUGAUCUGAAUAUUCUCAUCUCUUUCUUUAUCUCCUCAACCCCUUCUAGACUUCUAAUUUCAUUGUAUUUCUCUUUGUUGUUCCCUGUGUCUAUUAUAAUUGUAUUCAGUAAAUAUAUAUAUAUAUAUAUAUAUAUAUAUAUUAUAGCAGUGCUUGUGUUGGAAAUUUAAGUUGUUACAUUGGUGCUUUCAUCCAGAGGUCUCUAAUGGAAGAGGACCCAAAACUCAAGUCCCUUGAAGACUCCAUAUGGGUGGUGAAAGAGUCAUUCUCUAGUGACAUCUCUGAGAUUCGAUCUAUGUUGAAAGAGGUGGUAGGACACGUAAUGGCUCUAGGUUCUCAGAAUGUUGCUCCUGCAGUGGCAACACCUCGACCACGGCAAACUGCUGAAGUUUGUGGAGGCCAGGCAUCAACACAUCCUACUUUGCGACACAAACCGGCUCCGGUUGAAUUAGGACGAUUCCAUGGAGUAAACUCUGAAGCAUGGGUUUUCCAAGCAGAACGUUACUUUGAACUUUAUGGAAUCAUGGAGGAUCAUAAAUUAACGCUUGCAUCGUUCUACUUGGAUGGCGAUGCCUUGGAAUGGUAUCGGUGGCUUUUCCGCAAUAAACAGUUAGUUAAUUGGGAGCAUUUCGCCGAGAAACUGCUGGUACGAUUUCAGAAAUGGGAUCUUGAAGUGCCAGGGGGUCGACUUGCUAAAUUUCGGCAGACCACUACGGUGGCUAAAUGCCAAAGCCUCUUCAAAGCAGUGUCUAAUGAGACGAUGUAAUUUCCAGAUCAGGUAUUAACCCAUUUUUUUACUUCUGGUCUGAGGCCUGAUAUUAAAACUGCUGUUUUAAUCCGUGAGCCCACAAAAUUAACCGAAGCCAUACGUUUAGCCCAUUUAUAUGAGCAAAAGAUCCAACUUGAGCGUGGCUCCAUUAAACCCGCUUUCAGUAAAACACCACCACUUCUGCCGACUCCAAGUCAUUCAUACGGAACCUCAAAGCCCUCAACUUUGAAUCAGAUGGUUACAGCCGCCCAAACCACACCAAAUCGUCCCCCCAUCAAACGCCUUACCCCAGCAGAGAUACAAAGUCGUCGAGAACGUGGCCUCUGCUAUUCUUGCAAUGAAAAAUAUUCUCCAGGUCAUAAGUGUAAGUCGCUUCCCCAACUUCUACUGUUAUCUGAAGAAUCAGAGACAGAUGUAACUUUACCAGGUGAAUUCUUAUCGGAUGAUGUCUUAGCAGAGGAAUUACAGUGCUUAUAGUUUCAAGAACACUCAGCUAUUUCAUAUAAUGCUCUAUCUGGAGGAAGUUCUGCCACUACUCUCCGAUUUACUGGUCAUGUUAAUGGGUCACCAGUAGAGGUGCUCGUGGACAACGCUAGUACACAUAAUUUUGUUCAAGCGAGGAUGGCUAAGUUUCUUCAGUUGGUAACUGAACCAACACCAAGUUUUUUUCUGGUGGUGGGAAGUGGACAACGACUACGUUGUGAGGGCGUUGCUAGAAAAAUUCCAAUAACCAUCCAGGGCAGCGAUAUAGUGGAAGAUUUAUAUAUUUUGUCCCUUCAUAGUGCUGAUAUAGUACUCGGGGUUUCGUGGCUCACAACUUUGGGACCUGUCCUUACUGAUUAUGCAAAGAGGAUAUUCGAAUUCACUCUAAAUGGUACUAAUAUAUCACACCGAGCCUCUCGUGGCAAGGUGAUGCACCUACUGAUGUGCAACCAGUGCAAUUGCAUAGCCUGAGAAGGAUGGCUGCUCUGCUACUGAUGCAAUUUCUUCUUAUUCCAUCUAAUUUGGAGCAUUCAUGUACUACUUCCUCUGAGUUAGCAGCAGUGCUCAAAGCAUAUGAAGAUGUGUUCCAGAAACCUUUGGUUUGCCUCCUUCAAAAUCAAGACCACGCAAUCCAUCUACUCCCAGAGGCAAAACCAGUUAAUGUGAAGCCGUAUCGAUACCCUUAGUGUGUGUUGAGGAUGAACCAAAAUGGAGAGCAAAAUGGAUGAAAAUAGGAUGAAACAAAUGAGAAACUACACACGAAGCGGUGCGCGACCGCGCACGUGGGAGUGUCAUCAUACAAGUCAUCGCACAGGAGAGGCAGUUUGUGAAAUUGCUGGUCAUAAUGCUAUGCCAAGUGCUAUCCAGCUGCGCCAUCGCACAGCGAGCCGACAAGGAAUUUAAUUCGAGGCUAAUUUCGAUAUUUUACGGAAAAAUCCCUGGGACUAUAUAAUGUUUUAGCUCAUCCUAACUAGGUUAUCUAGGGACCUUUUUAUAUAGGAGGCAUGGGAGGAGCGUAGAAGAGGAUUUGACGGCUGAAUUAAUUAUUUCCUUCACGAUUCGAUUCAAUACGAAAGUUUGGAUCAAUCGUCGGUUGUAAUGUUUUCUACUUCUAUUUCUUCUAUGUUCUUUUGUUCUAUUAUGGAGUAGUUUCUUAUAGGGUUUUGACAUGACAUGAUGUAUUGAUUGGCAUUUUUAGAUUCGAUUCUUGUUUUAUUGCUUGAAUUCGUUAAUGGAGUUUUGAAUUGAAUUGGAGAGUUAUUUACU